rnacentral:rRNA from 1 species
CGGAGGAAAAGAAACUAACAAGGAUUCCCCUAGUAGCGGCGAGCGAAGCGGGAAAAGCCCAAAAUGAAAAGCCUGCUUGCAGGCGUUGUAUUUUGAAUGUUCUUGGGGUGUCAGUGUGGGUAAGUUGUAUGGAAAUACACGCCGUGGAGGGUGAGAGCCCCGUCCAGCCUGCACAGGACACGCCGCACAAGAAUGUUUCAGACGAGUCGGGUAGCUUGGGAAUGCUGCUCUAAUUGGUGGUAAAUCUCAUCAAAGGCUAAAUAACGGUUGGAGACCGAUAGCGAACAAGUACCGUGAGGGAAAGAUGACAAGCACUUUGAAAAGAGGGUGAAAAGAGCCUGAAACCGUCAUGGGGGAAGCGGAUUGCGUUGGAUUGAUGGGUUGCUGUGUGUUCAGCCAGAAAUGGUGCAUUGACACAGUAGCUUAUCUGCCGUGGGUUUUGAACAGUUGAAUUUGAACUGUUUGGGGCUGAGGGCUCCCUUUUAUAGGUGAGGACGGUGGAGCAACGACGCGAUACGACCCGUCUUGAAACACGGACCAAGGAGUCUAGCGCGGGUGCGAGUCAAAGGGUGCAAGCCCGUGGGCGUAGUGAAAGCGAGUUUUUAAAACUAGCAGUUUGGGGCGGCAUAAAAUCGUUGAUUUUAAGUCUGACCUUGAGCAGUUGCGCUGGGACCCGAAAGAUGGUGAACUAUGCUUGAGUAGGGCAAAGCCAGAGGAAACUCUGGUGGAGGCUCGUAGCGGUGCUGACGUGCAAAUCGCUCGUCCGACUUUAGUAUAGGGGCGAAAGACUAAUCGAACCAUCUAGUAGCUGGUUCCCUCCGAAGUUUCUCUCAGGAUAGCGGGCCGACAUGGGUUGUUUUGUGCGGUAAAGCGAAUGAUUAGCGCACUCGGGGACAAUUAGUCUUCGGGCGAUUCUCAAACUUUCAAUGCGCAAGGGUGCCGUUGCUUUGUUGAACGGUACCGGCAAAAACGUCGGCCCUGUGGGCCACUUUUGGUAAGCAGAACUGGCGAUACGGGAUGAACCGUAAGCGUGGUUAAGGCGCCUAACUGCCCGCUUAGAGACCCCACAAAAGGUGUUGAUUCAUCGAGACAGCAGGACGGUGGCCAUGGAAGUCGGAAUCCGCUAAGGAGUGUGUAACAACUCACCUGCCGAAUGAAUUAGCCCUGAAAAUGGAUGGCGCUGAAGCGGGCGGCCGACACCACGCCGUCUGGUAAACAAUUACGAUCAGAUGAGUAGGAGGGCGUGGUGGCCGUGUCGAAGCGUGCAUGCAGAUGUGCGUGGAACGGCCACUAGUGCAGAUCUUGGUGGUAGUAGCAAGUAUUCAAGCGAGAUCCUUGAAGGGCGAAGCGGGGAAGGGUUCCACGCGAACAUUGAUUGGGCGUGGGUGAGUCGUUCCUAAGCCGAGUGGCGAUUGCUAAGUAGCGGCGAAAGGGAAGCAGGUUGACAUUCCUGCACACGGAUGUGGAGGCGGUGACGCGUAUUGGGGCGAACACGCUGGCGACGGCGCUGGGCAGAGUUGUCUUUUCUGUUUGACCUGUUUAGUGCGCAGUGUGGAAUCCGAUUGUCGGGAGAAACACGCCUGUUGGGGCAGAGCGCCGGGGCUUUUCCGGCGUCCAGCUCGCCGUCGACGGCCCGUGAAACUUUGCCUGCUGAWUUUAAUCCACGCCGUGGCGUACCGAUCACCGCAUCAGGUCCCCAAGGUGAACAGCCUCUGCUCAAUAUGAACAAUGCAGGUAAGGGAAGUCGGCAAACUAGACCCCUAACUUUGGGAUAAGGGUUGGCUCUAGUGCUGCGUGGGAGUGGUUGCCUGGUGUUGCGACUGUUUGAAAGGCUGGCUCGACGCGGGUCCCUCGGGACCUGUAUUGGGCUGCCUGCCGGAUAUUUGCGUGCUGGGCGAUGCCCACAGUAUGCAGCAGACUAGAACUGCAACGGGCAAAGGGAAUCCGACUGUUUAAUUAAAACAAAGCAUUGCGAGGGCCGUGGCCGGUGAUGACGCAAU